CCUACGGGUGGCAGCAGUGAGGAAUAUUGGUCAAUGGACGCGAGCCUGAACCAGCCAAGUAGCGUGCAGGAUGACUGCCCUACGGGUUGUAAACUUCUUUUAUAAAGGAAUAAAGUGAGGCACGUGUGCCUUUUUGUAAGUAUUUUAUGAAUAAGGAUCGGCUAACUCCGUGCCAGCAGCCGCGGUAAUACGGAGGAUCCGAGCGUUAUCCGGAUUUAUUGGGUUUAAAGGGAGCGUAGAUGGGUUGUUAAGUCAGUGGUGAAAGUUGGAGGCUCAACCGUAAAAUUGCAAUUGAUACUGGCAGGCUAGAGUACAGUUGAGGUAGGCGGAAUGCAUGGUGUAGCGGUGAAAUGCUUAGAUAUCACGAAGAACACCGAUUGCGAAGGCAGCCUACUAAGCUGCCACUGACAUUGAUGCUCGAAAGUGUGGGUAUCAAACAGGAUUAGAUACCCGAGUAGUC
rnacentral:rRNA from 1 species